UCAUUUCCUCUGCUUUAAAACAGGGACCAGCUCGGCUCCUCCAGCACCCCAGAAUCCAUCUUGCCCCAGGGCCUUUGCGAGUGCUGUCGCGGGGAGGAAGGUUUGCCUCGGAGGCUGGGCCAGCCGACGUCACCACCCCUGAGAGCUGCUCCCAUAACAGGGCGUGCCUGGAAGGGGCGGAGGCGGGUGGCCCAGCCGGUCCUGCCGGUGCUGGCCUGCCAGUCUCAGGCUGGCGGCGGCCAUGGAGGGGCUGCGUCGCGGGCUGUCCCGCUGGAAGCGCUACCACAUCAAGGUACACCUGGCCGACGAGGCGUUGCUGCUGCCACUGACCGUGCGGCCCCGCGACACCCUAAGCGACCUGCGCGCGCAGCUGGUGGGCCAGGGCGUGAGUUCGUGGCGCAGAACCUUCUACUACAACGCUAGGCCGCUGCCGGACCAUCAGACGGUGCGCGAGGCCCGCCUGCAGGACGGCUCCGUGCUGCUGCUGCUCAGUGACCCCAGGUAGUCAAGGCUGGAGGAGAUGGAGCCAUGGUUUUAGGAACACAAGGUACUGGCUGAAGGAGCAGGCUGGGCCAGGAGACGCCACACCUCACUCUUCCUGGGAGCCCAGCCCUCUCCAGGUGCUGGGUUCCCAGGGAGAUGCGACAUCCCAGCCCUGCUGAUGCCCGCUCUUGCUGUGUUCCUGAUGGUGACUUCAGACUCUGUCCAGCCCUCCAGCAAGGAGCCUCCUGGUUUCUCUGUGGCUUUGGGACCCUUCCCUCUCUCUGGGAUCCUCUAUCAACGCCCAGGGCACAGCUUCUUCCAGGAAGCCCUCCAGUCAACAGACACAGUUCCUUCUUUGGGAACCUAUGGGGCUCCAGCUAUGAAGAGCCCUGGCUCCAGGAGGACCUGCCGGAACCCUGACCUGGGAGACUGACCCAGGGCGGCCCUGGUGAGCCCAUGGACGUGCACAAUGCUCUCAGUAUUUCAGCACAUGCGGUGGCUGUGUGUUCCGCCCCGCAGCCCCAGUGCUGGGUACUGUCUGUACCCCUGUCCCGUCCCCAGUCACCCCCAUGUCCUCCCCCCCCUGUGCUGGGACCUGCACAGUGAGCCCAGAAGGAAACACCGUUUCAAUUAAGAGCUGGUCAGGUUGCAGGGUUAGAGUAGGGCAGGCGGGGACUGAACCCCGGCCUUUGGGAGCGAGCGGGCUGCGGAGCAUGCUCAGCUACACCAGGUCCUGGGGUGAGUCCUGCUCUGCCUCCCCGGGUCCACCAGGCUGUUGCUCAGCCGUGGGGCAUGCUGCUGUCCCUGUGGGAGAGCUGGUGGGGGGAAGGGUUGGCAUGAGGGGGUGAGAGAAAGCAUUUUGACAUUUAACAAACACUAUGCAAAUAGCAUGCAAAUAGCAUGCAAAUCACUACUCAUCCCUUAAGCCCGACAGCCAUGGCGUGUUCAGAAAUAAUAAUGUAGGGCCUGUCCCCUGGUGCCCGUCCUGGCGGCCUUCCCUUCCCCCUGCCCACCUCCCUCCCUCCCUUUUCCUCCUUCCCUUCCCAUCUUUGAUCCAAGGCCUCCUAGCCCUGAAGUGGAUGUAAACAACCCAAUUGGCUGCUUGCGUCCUGUUUUCCAGAUCAGAGAGCCAAGGCCCACAGAGGCCUUAGGUCCCAAAGCCACAGUGCGGAAGGCAUGUACCCCCUCUCCCACGGUCAUCAGAGGCCAAGGCAGACAGAGCCUAUGGCCCACAGAGCAAAGGGCACAGAUGAGGAGGCCCCGGGCUGUUGAGCAUGGGCUGCCCACAAGCUCACCCUGUUCCUUGUGUCUGGAGUUUUUCCUGAAUCCUGGGCACAGGCCCCUCUGCUGCUUUGCUGCUUUUCUUUUUUUUUUUUUUUUUUUACAAGCUCCUAUUUAUUCUACAAAAGCCUACCUUGAGUGCCCAAUUUUUACACAGCCCUUCCUGAUGAUAAUAAUAGCCUCCAGUUCCUCUGGGCCCCUGCCAUGCCAGUACUGUGCUCCUGUCUUAGGCCUGAGUCAUGAAAGCAGGUGGUGGGAGGCUCAUUCCAUCGCUGUGAGCUCAGCUCAGGAGCCCCAACGUCAUGCAGUCUGGGCUCUAGGUGCGGAGGGCCAUUUUGAAUGUGUAUCAAAUAAAAAGACUGAAAAUAAAACAGUGCCUG